rnacentral:rRNA from 1 species
GACGAACGCUGGCGGCGUGCUUAACACAUGCAAGUCGAACGGAAAGGCCCUGCUUUUGUGGGGUGCUCGAGUGGCGAACGGGUGAGUAACACGUGAGUAACCUGCCCUUGACUUUGGGAUAACUUCAGGAAACUGGGGCUAAUACCGGAUAGGAGCUCCUGCUGCAUGGUGGGGGUUGGAAAGUUUCGGCGGUUGGGGAUGGACUCGCGGCUUAUCAGCUUGUUGGUGGGGUAGUGGCUUACCAAGGCUUUGACGGGUAGCCGGCCUGAGAGGGUGACCGGCCACAUUGGGACUGAGAUACGGCCCAGACUCCUACGGGAGGCAGCAGUGGGGAAUAUUGCACAAUGGGCGGAAGCCUGGUGCAGCCACGCCGCGUGCGGGAUGACGGCCUUCGGGUUGUGAACCGCUUCCGCCUGUGACGAAGCGUGAGUGACGGUAAUGGGUAAAGAAGCACCGGCUAACUACGUG